GGCCCGGGGCUGCGGCAGCGCCCGCGGGGGUCGCCCGGGAAGGGCGGGAGGUGCUCGGAGGCUGGCCUCGUCCCAGCGGCUUGAUUCGCGUUAAAAAUAAUAAGCAAUGGCUCCAAAAGAACAGGAAUAAGCCUGGCUGCUUCCCUUUACACAGAAAAAGUGUACCAGAUAUAUCACUUAUGACUGGACGGCCAAGUGGUUUGCAGCAGCAAAAGCUCCAGAUGCACAGAGGGAUGAUAUCCCCAAGCUGACUUCUGUGAGGCUUGGUGGUCCGCCAGGUUGCAGGGCUCCUGCCUGGCCCAUGGAAACCUGAAAGCCUCACCGGACAAGAUCUACAUGGAACUCCUGGUAGUCUCAAGACUCUCUGCCUGGACCUUCAGCUAAUGUAGGCUCUCUGGUCAACUACUUAGGUUGACCAAGUUUUCCUGUGGUGUCCAGUACCUCUACCAUGAAGGGUGAUGGAAUAAACAGAGAUAAACCUUCAGGAGCUGUCCCUCCAGGACGUACUCAGCAGGAGAGUGUCCUGAGAAGAGAGUAGAGAAGAAACAGAUGUUUAAAGCAGUCAUCUAUCUGGAGUGACCGAGGUACAACUGUCCUUUCCUGAGAUGGAAAUACGAGCUAACUGACCUCACAAGCCCCCCCUUUGACCUGCUUUUUUAUGAUUUUUCCAGUUGCACCAGGCAGCUGACUGAGCCCUCAGGUACAUUAUGUAGGUAUCUCAGGGAUGUGCUGGAGAACAGCUUCCAGUUCACGGUGAAAUUUCAGAGUGAUCUUUUUUGCUUUUGGUUAUAAAGGGAACAGAAUUUAACUGUUAACGUUCUUCUCUAGCAGGAUCCUGUAAUUUAGGUGGUUCUACAACUACUCCUGACCUUGCUUCAUCUUUUAUAUCAAAGGGAAUAUAUACGAGCAGAAUUCUCUCAUCCAGAGCAGUCUAACAGUGGUUAGCUGUGCAUGCAAACUUUCUCAUAUAAAAAGCCAGGCGAAGUACAACUCAUAAAAUUCAAUGUAAAAAUGAUUAUAACAAAGGUUCAAAGAUUAGUGGUUUCUGUUUGGAUAUAGAUCCACUAGAGACAAUGGUGUAACUGCAGAGCACAUAUAUGUACCUGACGUACCUUUAGGGCAAAUGGCAUAAUUACAUCAGCACAGACUUCAUUACAGGGCAGGUGUUUAAUGAACUUCUAAGGAGGGCUUUCCAGAUUAUGCAGAACUCUGUUUUACUGUGGGUAGACUUUGCAUGUCCACAAGAGAUCUCGAUACUGGAUCUCCUGGGUACCAGGUUCAGCCUAGCUGUGGUAGCAUGAGCCUCUGGAUCACCUAACUUUUCUUCUGAAAAAGCACCAUGUAUUUUCUCAGGUACUUUGAUAGAUUUUUCAGCCAAUUUGGAAGCCAGCUGUACCAUGGCUGCGGUAUUCUGGGGACCUGCACCACUGAAUAUAAAACAGUAACUGCCUGCUGUUGGUUUCCACACCUGCACAAGCUCUGUGUGAGCAGCAGAGACAGUCCAUCAUUUGUUUGCAAGAUGGUUUGAUGCAGUGCCUUUUUUUUAACUCUUCACAGCAUUCUUUGGGUUGGCAGUGUUCACUAACACAACUCAGGAGUGGCUCAAGUGAGGAGGCCCCUACAUCUACUCCGUGUGUAGCUUGGAGGCAUGACCUCAGACUUUGUGAUGAUUCAAAUUCAUACACAGGACCAGUUGCUGGUCUACUACCCCAUGUCAGCCAGGCGCAGGUACCCUUGUGGAGAUGUCCGUCCAGAAAAAAAGCUUAUGUAUUAGGUUCCUCUGAAAAUGACCUCCACUGCAAACACCAAAACUGAACACAGUAAGAUGGGGAUAAUUGCUUGCAAACUGCCUUGCUGCUCUGAACCAGCGCACGAACCCCGAAGAAACCUAACGUCAGGUUUCAUCGUGUCGCCUUCAGGCAGGCGCGAAAGCCCCAGUGCGUUCCGUGCAGCCGGAGGUGGGCUUGUCUCAGCUUGAACUCCAUCUCCUCUGGCCAAAGAGACCCUCGGGGACUCGGCAUCGCCGCGGGGCUGCCGGAGCCCGCCGGAGGGCGAGGGGCCCGAGGGCGCCAGCAGAG
ensembl:lncRNA